rnacentral:rRNA from 1 species
UACGGGGGGGGUAAGCGUUGUUCGGAAUUACUGGGCGUAAAGGGCUCGUAGGCGGCCAACUAAGUCAGACGUGAGAUCCCUCAGCUUAACUGGGGAACUGCGUCUGAUACUGGAUGGCUUGGAUUUGGGAGAGGAAUGCGGAAUUCCAGGUGUAGCGGUGAAAUGCGCAGAUAUCAGGAAGAACACCAAUGGCGAAAGCAGCUCUCUGGGACGGUACUGACGCUGAGACGCGAAAGCGUGGGGAGCGAACAGG